UUAGCGGCGGGCCUAACACAUGCAAGUCGAACGAGAACGCUCCUUCGGGAGUUAUUAAAGUGGCGCACGGGUGAGGAACGCGUAGGUAAUUUACCCUUUGGCGGGGGACAACAUUCCGAAAGGAAUGCUAAUACCGCGUAAGACCACGCUCACUACGGUGAAAGCGGUUAAAGGUGCCUCAAAAGCAACCACCAAAGGAUGAGCCUGCGUCCCAUCAGCUUGUUGGUAAGGUAAUGGCUUACCAAGGCUAAGACGGGAGCUGGUCUGAGAGGAUGAUCAGCCACACUGGCACUGGAACACGGGCCAGACUCCUACGGGAGGCAGCAGUGAGGAAUAUUGGGCAAUGGGCGAAAGCCUGACCCAGCCACGCCGCGUGUGUGAUGAAGGCCUUCGGGUCGUAAAGCACUGUGGGGAGAGACGAACAUGCGCAGGAGGAAAUGCCUGCGUACUGACGGUACCUCCUUAGCAAGCACCGGCUAACUCUGUGCCAGCAGCCGCGGUAAUACAGAGGGGCAAACGUUGCUCGGAUUUACUGGGCGUAAAGCGCGUGUAGGCGGACUCGCAAGUCGGUUGUGAAAUCCCUGGGCUUAACCUAGGAACUGCAUCCCGAAACUUGCUUGUCUUGAGUAAUGGAGAGGGUGGCGGAAUUCCCGGUGUAGAGGUGAAAUUCGUAGAUAUCGGGAGGAACACCAGUGGGCGAAAGCCGGCCACCUGGACAUUUACUUGACGCUUGAGACGCGAAAGCCGUGGGGGAGCAAACCAGGAUUAGAUACCC
rnacentral:rRNA from 1 species